CUAGAUAUCGCUGAUAUACACUCCUUCAAAAGUCGAUGUUCUACUGCUCCUUGUUGCAAGUUGCUAGACGACCGCGCACUCUCAAUGAUGCGAUUGUGCAUGUGUGACGCAUGUUACGUCACGCCGAGCCGCGUCUUAAAGUCCCGACACGGAUCUUCACGGAGAGCAUCUGCAGGCCAAAAAUAGGCUAACAGCGGGCAUGCGGUGAGUGCGGGCACCUUUGAAAAGGGGCUGGCAAAUACACAAGCGCCAGGACCAAAUUUAAAGUUAUAACCUUUUAAUGUACAGAUGAGUGAAUGUUUA